UACAUGGGGUGCAAGCGUUGCUCGGAAUUAUUGGGCGUAAAGCGCACGUAGGCGGUUCGUUAAGUCAGGUGUGAAAGCCCUCGGCUCAACCGAGGAAGUGCACCUGAAACUGGCGAGCUAGAGUACUAAAGAGGGUCGCGGAAUUCCCGGUGUAGAGGUGAAAUUCGUAGAUAUCGGGAGGAACACCGGUGGCGAAGGCGGCGACCUGGGUAGAUACUGACGCUGAGGUGCGAAAGCGUGGGGAGCAAACAGG
rnacentral:rRNA from 1 species